GGUCCCAUCGUCUAGCGGUCUAGGAUAUCGCCCUCUCACGGCGAAGACACGGGUUCGAUUCCCGUUGGGACUGCCA
rnacentral:tRNA from 2 species